AGUGAACGCUGGCGGUAGGCCUAACACAUGCAAGUCGAACGGCAGCACAGUAAGAGCUUGCUCUUACGGGUGGCGAGUGGCGGACGGGUGAGGAAUACAUCGGAAUCUACUUUUUCGUGGGGGAUAACGUAGGGAAACUUACGCUAAUACCGCAUACGACCUACGGGUGAAAGCAUGGGAUCUUCGGACCUUGCGCGAUUGAAUGAGCCGAUGUCGGAUUAGCUAGUUGGCGGGGUAAAGGCCCACCAAGGCGACGAUCCGUAGCUGGUCUGAGAGGAUGAUCAGCGACACUGGAACUGAGACACGGUCCAGACUCCUACGGGAGGCAGCAGUGGGGAAUAUUGGACAAUGGGCGCAAGCCUGAUCCAGCCAUACCGCGUGGGUGAAGAAGGCCUUCGGGUUGUAAAGCCCUUUUGUUGGGAAAGAAAAGCAGCAGGUUAAUACCCCGCUGUUCUGACGGUACCCAAAGAAUAAGCACCGGCUAACUUCGUG
rnacentral:rRNA from 1 species